AUACGGAGGGCGCGAGCGUUAUUCGGAAUUAUUGGGCGUAAAGCGCGUGUAGGCGGCAGGGCAAGUCGGAUGUGAAAGCCCAGGGCUCAACCCUGGAAUUGCAUUCGAUACUGCACGGCUAGAGUAUGGUAGAGGGAAGUGGAAUUUCCGGUGUAGCGGUGAAAUGCGUAGAUAUCGGAAGGAACACCAGUGGCGAAGGCGACUUCCUGGGCCAAUACUGACGCUGAGGUGCGAAAGCGUGGGGAGCAAACAGGAUUAGAAACCCCAGUAGUCC
rnacentral:rRNA from 1 species